UACAGAGGGGGCAAGCGUUGUUCGGAAUUACUGGGCGUAAAGGGCACGUAGGCGGCCUUCUAAGUCGAACGUGAAAUCCCCGGGCUCAACCCGGGAACUGCGUCCGAUACUGGAAGGCUUGAAUCCGGGAGAGGGAUGCGGAAUUCCAGGUGUAGCGGUGAAAUGCGUAGAUAUCUGGAGGAACACCGGUGGCGAAGGCGGCAUCCUGGACCGGCAUUGACGCUGAGGCGCGAAAGCCAGGGGAGCAAACGGG
rnacentral:rRNA from 1 species